AAUUAUAUCUUGGUUAUUCAUAUUACCUAUUAUUUCAAGUAUACAAAGCAGAUAUAAAAUAAACAGGUUUUACAUUUUGUAGGUACUAUAAUAUCUAAAUAUGAUGUAUCGUCGUGAAAAAAGUAUAAACUUGUGAUACAGAAUAUCGAAAUCGAUACUAAAAAUAUAAAUAAAAUCGACCAUCUCCGAAAAAAAAAAAUGAUAUGUUAGAAAUCACAAAAUU